GUUUGGUCUGUACUGUAUAUAAAUAUAUAUAUAUAUAUAUAUAUAAAUAUAUAUAUAUAUAAAAAUAAAAGUAGGGGGCCAUUUGAAUUGUCUAUACGGUGCCACUGAGGUAUCAGCCAAUCACGCUGCCUUGUCUAAGCCUGGUCUGAUUUUAAUUUAAAGAGAAGUUCCUAAAACAUGAAUUAUCCCACUUUGGUAUAUCAGACAGUGACACUAAGCUGGUGGCUCUCCAAGUUACGGUCAGGACCCCAGUGUGGGUCAGAAAACAGAGUUUCAGACCUCGAGUCAUUUUAAUUCAGAAAUGAUUGAAGAAAUCACAAUUAUGCUCAUCUUUGAACACUUCAGCCAGAUUUAGUCAAGAUUAUUGAAAUAUUUUCCUGGGGAAAGGCAAUGGAAAUUUGUUAGGUAAUUUCACUUUUCUGGGGCUUUAGGGGUAAAAUGUUUAUUGUUUUUAUACCAAUAAUUUCUCACAAAAACUAGUUUUAAUAUGUUUGAGGUUGGAAGUAUGUGAGAAAAUAGACCUCAGAACUUCAUCUAUGCAGUCAGUUCAUCCAGCCUACAUUGAAAUGUUCUAUUGGAGUUUUCACAGCAGCGAAGCUCCGUGUUCUAAACAAAGCUAACCCCCAAAUUCCACAUCCUCCAUUAAGCCGGGCUCACACUGAACGCGGUGCAGAUGCGAUGCAGCUGCGGUGUGGUCGUGCUGCAGAAAGCCACUUAUACUGCGCUGCGGCCAGCCCGGCCCAGCUACGCCUCUGCCUGCGGAAACGGCGUUCCAGAGAGCGUGGGUUCACACUCUUUCUGGAAAUUCAAGCAAGAACUAGCCCAAACAUUUAGCAAGUCUCUCAUAAACAAAGCCCCUAUUUGGCCGUAUUUUGACCCCGUGUCACCUGUUAUGUAAUGUUCAUGUUUUGGAGCAUCCAGGUAAAACAAGAGAGGAAAAUCCCUGUCUCCUCCUUUCUGGUGCUCUCCCUCUAAAUGACUAAAAACAGUUAUGGAUUUCGAUUUCUAUAGCAAGACCCGUUAUCUGUGCGCAUAACUAUCGUUUUUCAUCCUCAAAUAGUGCCUUGUUCCCUAAUUUUUCAGUUUUUUGUUUUGUUUACAUUAGUCAAUUUAGCGUACGUUGGUGGGUUGAUUUUAUUAUGAAAAUCACAGGAACUCUCUCUUGUCUGGCUUCCUGUUUGGCUGGUAAAGUUCAUGAGCUUGAUGCAGAAGCCGCUGCGACAUCCGGUCAUACUUCCUUCCGGCCAAAUGUUUCCUUGCGGAAACAUUUCGUUGAGCUGCAUGGCCUCGGUAACUGCAACCACACUGCACCGUGGCUGAUUUUUAUUCAGACGGCUCUGCAGGAGGAGAGACAACAGUUCCAGGUUUGGAUGCGGUUUCCCAGAAGCUCCUAAAGAUGAUCUUCAUGUGUCCUACCAUCAUCUACUCCACUCUUUACACAUUUUCUACUUUAUAUAAAUAUUUGUAUAUGAUUAGACAGUCAAGGUAUCAAUUCCCUGUACCUCUGGACUGAUAAUCAGGUUUUUUUUAUAAUACAAUUUUUACCAAAAACAUU